rnacentral:lncRNA from 1 species
UCACUGAGCUAUAGUGGAGCACAUGAAUCAGGAUUUGGGAAAUUGUAAUCCGUCGUAUAUUUGAGCCAUCUUUUGAGAUUUCGUGCUUUUUUUAGCUGAUCCUUACUGGAAAUAUACCAUACAAGGUAUUUUUAUCUUUUUUUUUUAUUUUGGAUAAGAAUCGUAAGAUAAAAAUAUUAACAAAAGCUCGGGACCCGAUGUGACAUAAUAUUCCAGUUAUAAAAUUUUCAUAGCCAGGCCAAAAGGAUGUCUUGCUUGGGUAAGCUGUGUCCAAUAUACUGCUCGGUUACCAAGAGGAAGACGCCAUAUUGUUUCGCAGCAACAAGAAAUCAAGAAAAAAAGCUUUAUAAAAAGCGCACAAAAUGGGUUGUUUGCAGUCUUCCGAGACGAAUUCCGAGCCAGAAAAUGACAAUACUGAAGCCCAACCGAAAGUCUAUAGCUGG